UACGGGGGGGGGCAAGCGUUGUUCGGAAUUACUGGGCGUAAAGGGCUCGUAGGCGGCCAACUAAGUCAAACGUGAAAUCCCUCGGCUUAACCGGGGAACUGCGUCUGAUACUGGAUGGCUUGAGUUUGGGAGAGGGAUGCGGAAUUCCAGGUGUAGCGGUGAAAUGCGUAGAUAUCAGGAGGAACACCGAUGGCGAAGGCAGCUCGCUGGGACGGUACUGACGCUGAGACGCGAAAGCGUGGGGAGCAAACAGG
rnacentral:rRNA from 1 species